CUGUGUUUAGGUUUACCACAAGCCCUCUGACUACCCCAUUCCAGAUUUGUGCAGGUCAACAAUCCUGUCUCUGAGGUCCUGAGAGAGUUCUUUGGUCUUACCCAUGUUGGAGAGUUUGGAAUCUGUCUGAUUCUGUGAACAGGUGUCUUUCAUACAGGUGAUUAGUUAUAACAGGUGUCUUCAAUUCAGGUAACAAGUUGAUUGGGAGUGUCUAACUGGUCUGUGAAAGCCAGAACUCCUAAUGCAUACUAGGGGAUCAAAUACUUAUUUCCCUCAAUGAAAUACAAACCAAUUAAUAUAUAUUCUUUAAAGG